rnacentral:tRNA from 1 species
UCCCUGAUAGCUCAGUUGGUAAAGAAUCUGCCUGCAAUGCAGGAGACCGCAGUUCAAUUUCUGGGUCAGGAAG